GUGCUUGCUUUGGCAGCACAUACACUAAAAUUGGAAUGAUACAGAAGAGCAUGGCCCCUGUGAAAUAAAAACAAUUGACAAAAGAAAAUAACUAUUCUGUA
rnacentral:snRNA from 1 species